UACGUAGGUGGCGAGCGUUAUCCGGAAUGAUUGGGCGUAAAGGGUGCGUAGGCGGGCUGUUAAGUCAGCGGUAAAAGCCCGGGGCUCAACCCCGGCGAGCCGUUGAAACUGGCUGUCUUGAGAUGUCGAGAGGUAUGCGGAAUGCGUGGUGUAGCGGUGAAAUGCAUAGAUAUCACGCAGAACCCCGAUUGCGAAGGCAGCAUACCGGUGCACAACUGACGCUCAGGCACGAAAGCGUGGGUAUCGAACAGG
rnacentral:rRNA from 1 species